AGGCGGUGGCUCCCUCCGGCGGCUCCCUCCACGGCAUGACGGCGGUGCACUGCAUCGGCUAAAGCACCACCAUGGUUGACAAAAAUGCUCUGCAUCUUGAGAAGCAAAUAUCUUAAAUCUUUGACUUGGAUCUCGACGGCGACGGCAUCCAACGAACACAAGGUUUGAAUACUAUGGUCAGAUUUUUUCCCCAAGAAUCCACAAGUUUUGCUGGUCUUGAAGAAUGUAUUAAGUUCAUUGCAAACUUAAAGUUCAAAGAAGAUAUGCAAGGAAGGGCGCCGCCUCUCCCUCACCGUCCAUUGUCUCAAGACACGACGUCGUCAGCAGCACCUGCUAUCUAUAUAUAUGAACUACCUAUCAUCUUUAGCUAAUCUCUAGAACAUCGCCAUCAGCAGCACCUGCUAUCUAUAUAUAUGAACUCUACUUUUCUUUGAAGAUCGUUUUUCUUUUGGAGCAUGUUAGUCUUUGAUUUCAAUUCAAUGUUGUGCUCUAUCAUCCACCUUGUAAGAUUGUGACCUACUAUCUUAUAAUAUGCACCUAUUACCUUGCUA